rnacentral:rRNA from 1 species
GAUGAACGCUGGCGGCGUGCCUAAUACAUGCAAGUCGAGCGAACGGACGAGAAGCUUGCUUCUCUGAUGUUAGCGGCGGACGGGUGAGUAACACGUGGAUAACCUACCUAUAAGACUGGGAUAACUUCGGGAAACCGGAGCUAAUACCGGAUAAUAUUUUGAACCGCAUGGUUCAAAAGUGAAAGACGGUCUUGCUGUCACUUAUAGAUGGAUCCGCGCUGCAUUAGCUAGUUGGUAAGGUAACGGCUUACCAAGGCACGAUGCAUAGCCGACCUGAGAGGGUGAUCGGCCACACUGGAACUGAGACACGGUCCAGACUCCUACGGGAGGCAGCAGUAGGGAAUCUUCCGCAAUGGGCGAAAGCCUGACGGAGCAACGCCGCGUGAGUGAUGAAGGUCUUCGGAUCGUAAAACUCUGUUAUUAGGGAAGAACAUAUGUGUAAGUAACUGUGCACAUCUUGACGGUACCUAAUCAGAAAGCCACGGCUAACUACGUG